rnacentral:rRNA from 1 species
UACAGAGGGGCAAGCGUUGUUCGGAAUUACUGGGCGUAAAGGCGCGUAGGCGGCCCGCUAAGUCGAACGUGAAAUCCCCGAGCUCAACUCGGGAACUGCGUCCGAUACUGGUGGGCUUGAAUCCGGGAGAGGGAUGCGGAAUUCCAGUGUAGCGGUGAAAUGCGUAGAUAUCUGGAGGAACACCGGUGGCGAAGGCGGCAUCCUGGACCGGCAUUGACGCUGAGGCGCGAAAGCUAGGGAGCAACGGG